CCUGGUCUGCUCCUGAGAGAGCCCCGGUCAGCUCAGACACUUCUACCCUGAACUCCCCUCAGCGCAGGGCCCUGAGAGGACGCCCGGAGUCCCUGGUCGCAGGAAGCGGGACUAUUUAUUCCCAUUCAUCCAGUACAAAUUACUUACUAGAAUUGCUGUCAUGACUUGGUGCUCAAAAACAUGAACUGCAAUCAUCAUAUGAUAUCUAUACUUAAGAAACAGAUAAAGAAGUUGCUUAAGGUGUAAUUGUAGAUACCACUACAUGUUUCAGGGGCCAAAGAAAAUGAAUACAACACCAGUAAGUUGUUUACUUAUUUCUCAACUUGUUUUACAUUGUAUUAUAGGAGCUUUAUGAGCAUUUUUAAAUUAAAAUGGAAACAUAAAAGUGAUAAACAAGGUAGUAUUGUCAUAGUUAUAAGGUAUUAGAGCCAUCAGAGCUGAUUGUAAAUUUGUCUACAGUCUUUCUGGUGCCUCAAAGACAUAUC